UCUCUCGUCACGUAGGGGUAACGCACCCUGUCUAGAGAACAGGACGUCGUGAGUUCGAUUCUCACCGAGAAGA
rnacentral:tRNA from 1 species